rnacentral:lncRNA from 10 species
CAGGGUCUCACAAAUAGUUAAAAUCUCAAGAGGGGUGUCAUAAUUUAUGGUUAUCCAAGUACCUUUUUAAAAGGAGGGUUACGGUAAGCCAUGUGCCUUUACACUCUAUCAAUAACAUCUAUUACUCUACUCGGCAAUUCUAUUGAAGAAUGUCUGUGAGGGUUGUGUCCACCAGGGGGAGCUGAGAUGCAGUGUUAAUGUUCUCAAUCUUUCACUAAGCAUAAUCAGCAAUAGUUGGUAGAAGCUUCUCUAUGAAGAACCAUUUCCAUCAAAGGGAGGAGCAGAGCUGCCACAGGCUUGCUGUGCAGGGCGUUGAAGGUGAAAGCUGAGAGGGAGACGAGCUGCUUGCUGUGAAGAGAACUACAGAGCAUGAAUCAACUUAUCAAGUUCUAUCAGUGCCUGCAUGGGGGAACUCAUGAGUCAGCUCCUGGGAAGCAGGAAAGGCAGCAUCCUCAGAUUAUCUGUGGCUCCAGCAAGCACCAUUCAGAGCAUCAUCUCCAGCGCUGUCUUUCCUUCAGCUCUGGCCUACCCUGUUCUACACCUUGGUUAAAUGAAUGGAGGCAAAGGAACACUAAUCUUUGGGCAUCAGUUGAAAAACUUAUAGAAGUCACUGAAAUGAGGAUUUCAAAACUUCUAAAUC